rnacentral:rRNA from 1 species
UACGUAGGGUGCAAGCGUUGUCCGGAAUUAUUGGGCGUAAAGAGCUCGUAGGCGGUUUGUCGCGUCUGCUGUGAAAACCCGAGGCUCAACCUCGGGCCUGCAGUGGGUACGGGCAGACUAGAGUGCGGUAGGGGAGAUUGGAAUUCCUGGUGUAGCGGUGGAAUGCGCAGAUAUCAGGAGGAACACCGGUGGCGAAGGCGGGUCUCUGGGCCGUUACUGACGCUGAGGAGCGAAAGCGUGGGGAGCGAACAGG